AUACUUAUAUUUAGCUCUUUAAAAAAAUAAUUUAUCACAUCGGGAAAAAAAGGCUCUUAACUCCAGAAAGGUUGCCGACCCCUGGAUAUGGUCAUACUAACGUCAUACAUCGGAACUUUUGUGAUUCUGACAUUUCAUAUUAAUCAUUAGACAUCAUAAUUAUGUCAAGCACUGUGACGUUCUGAGACAUCAUCCAUUGUUACAUCGUAUGUCGGAACAUUUAUGAUUGCACUCAUUGGUACAUCCUAUUGACGUCGUACCCUCGAUGUUUUGUGACGUCAUUACUAUUUAACAAUAAUUACGCGCAUUAUGAUGUUUUAUGAUGUCAUCCAUCGAUACUUCUUACGUCGGAAAUGUAGUAACGUCAUUGCUAUUGCAUAUUGCUGUCAGAUAUUAUUAACAUUCUGGAAUGUCAUCCAUUGUUACGUAGUAUGGAUGAACUUUCUCGAUGUCAGUAAUUGGUACGUUAUAAUAAUGGUAUACAGUGAUGACGUUUAUGACGUCAUUCAUCAUUACAUCAUGGUAACUUCAUGGUUGUAAGACCAUGACGUCAUUCCUACUUCAUACUUUGCAACAAAUACUAUUCAAAAUAAUAAGUCUGAAAGAUUUAAACGUGUAUUUUAAAUUAUACCCCAAAAUGCCCAUCCAUAGGAUCAAAAUUGUCUCAUUUUAUUCGCAGGGAAAGUCACCUUGCAAAGUUUGGUGCAGAUAAGUCAAAUGAUGUGGGAACGUAAAUGGAACAAACAGAACCAUCUAAAUAUGCCCCACUAUUUGAAGCUAUUUUGUUUUUAUAUCCUAUGUCACCCGCAGGGCCAUAAGAAGUCAUCCUGCAAAGUUUGGUCCCGAUAGGUCAAACGAUGUGGGACCUAAGAGGACCAGAGGACCAGGAAGACAAACAGACAAACAUUUCAUUAUAUAUAUAUAUAUAUAUAUAUAUAUAGAUUAUUCGAACUAUUCGAUUAACCGAACAAUCUUGAUCCAAGUUUGUUCGGAUAAUCAACGCUCUAUUGUAAUU
rnacentral:lncRNA from 1 species